CUAGUACAGAUACCUAACCCCAAACUAGGAUUGGUACAUUCCCCAUACCGCUAGUACAGAUAUCUACACCCCCCCCAAACUAGGAUUGGUACAUUCCCCAUACUGCUAGUACAGGUACCUACACCCCCCUCUCCAAACUAGGAUUGGUACAUUCCCCAUACUGCUAGUACAGGUACCUACACACCUCCAAACUAGGAUUGGUACAUUCCUCAUAUUGCUAGAACCUACCCCCCUGCCCUCUCCAAACUAGGAUUGGUACAAAUGUUUGCUAGAACAUACCCCACCCACCAGAAUAGGAUUGGUGCAUUCCCCGUACCUACACCCCCCCAGAAUAGGAUUGGUGCAUUCCCCGUACCUACACCCCCCUAGACUAGGAUUGUUAUAUUCCCCAUACCGCUAGUACAGGUACCUACACCCCCCCUUCCCCAGACUCGGAUUGGUACAUUCCCCAUAUUGCUAGAACAUACCCCAACCCCCAGAGCAGGAUUGGUGCAUUCCCCAUUCUGCUAGUACAGGUACCUACCCCCCUAGACUAGGAUUGGUACAUUCCCCAUACCGCUAGUACAGGUACCUACAUCCCCUCCCCCCCAGACUAGGAUUGGUACAUUCCCCAUACUGCUAGUACAGGUACCUACACCCCCUCCCCCCCAGAUUAGGAUUGGUACAUUCCCCAUACUGCUAGUACAGGUACCUACACCCCCUGCCCCCCAGACUAGGAUUGGUACGUUCCCCAUACUGCUAGUACAGGUACCUACACACCGCCAAACUAGGAUUGGUACAUUCCCCAUACUGCUAGUACAGAUACCUACACCCCCCCCAAACUAGG